GUUUUGCUACGAUUUUGGGACUAAUUUCGCUUUGAUUUUGCCUUAUGAUUUCACUAUCACUUUAAUUUUGUGAGUUCAGGGCCAUCGGGGAUGGACCAAUCACUCUAGUCUCUUAGCAUUGAUUCAACCUCUAUGGGCAGAAUUGCACGCUGAACUGCACCACUAAUGUCGAACAACAAGUGACAAAGCUGAUGUUGAAGAUAUAGAUCCGUGAAUUCCUAGUUACAAGGGAAUAAGGGAUNGCAGACUCGGCAGCAGCGGCCGUGCGACACCUGCUGGCGCGCAGCGCGCAAAGCGCGCACGCACAGCCCUCGGUCGCGCCACCACGCCCCCUCCUCCGUCCGACUUCGUCCUCCCUCGCCCUACCUGGCUUGACCAGCCUCGGCGGCCCCCGGCGUGCAGCAGAACAAGAGCAGCAGCGGUGGCACGGCAACGCUCGACCGGGCGCACAGCGCUCAGCGCGCAAGCGCGCGCGCACGCGCUGCCCUCGGCGUGCACAGCCACCGUUUCGCCCUAGUUUAACUGCAGCCAUCCAACCCGUCCUCCGUUUAAACCAGUCUGAUCGUCGUCGUCUUCGUCUCGUUUUUCCAUAAUUACAGAUUACAACCGAAAAACAAAAACAAUUGAAAUUCUAAUCUAACCACGGAUUUUCUCGUGGUGAAAAAAACGAUUACAACGUCAAAACGACGUAUCCCACGAAUCAACAGACCACGAAGAACAGCAACAGUAAAAACAACGCACAUUAUUAAUCGUACAUAAAUUAAUAAUAGAGCCAAGAAAUUAAUCCUGGGCUCUGAUACCAAUUGAAGGAAUAUUAAACUGAAUUAAUGCUCCGUUUGCCCGAUGAUCGUUUCUUGGAUUAUUAUUAAUUCAUCAUACAACGAUUAAUCCUAACAUGCUCCUAUGAAUUUAACAGCUGCACAUAGGUGUUAGGAAUACUUACUUGAGAAUCGGAUGCACAGAUGUUGAUCGAUCGGUCGAAUGAAACAGACUCCAGUUCUGAUCUUCUCGACUGUAUCCCGCUCAAUUUCAACGUUGGAUGGACAACGAACUAGUGAAAGUCCCAAGGCAGAAAGCUCCCACACGUUUCCUGCGCCUCUACAGCUCUCCAAACCCUAAUUUUUAUAAGUGUGUUUUUCUGAGAGCUGACAGCUGUAUUUUAUAAUAAAUAAAAUACAUGGGGCGCCAGUUUCUAGGUGGGGGGCGAUUUCUGCUCCUUCUAGGGCUAGGAGACUUUGGGCCAGUCCAGGGACCAGAUACAAGGAAUAAAGAUGGGUCUCAAAUAAAUUAAUUAUCUAUGGUCAGCCCAGACCAUAAUUAAUUUAUAAAUAUUAGUUCAUUCCACUAGAGAACUAAUAUCGACUUACCCCUUUAUUACCGGUGAUGAGUCGGGGCUUGUAUUUAGACUUAUUAAAUCCCCGUAUUUAAAAUAUCCGACAUCCAUUAAUUAAUUAGAGCUCUGACAGCUUAAAUUAAUUAAUCUCUUUGUAAUCCUUAAGCAGUACCACUCAAACCUCAUUAUUGCGCCUGAACUUAAUCAACCUGCAGGGUUUAGCGCAAUAAACAUUAUUGAGCUUCUUAAGGGGAUAUCAUUAUCCUAUAUCGGAUACGGGUACUAAUACAGAUAAUCAAAUAUCAUAUGUUAACCGCUAUCACCCAAGAUACAGAGUAUUCAAGUUACUAUAUAACUCUCACUCAUAGUAUGUCAAAGUGAUAUACGAAUUAACAUAUAUAUAUGAAAUCUUAUUAGUAUUAAGAUCUUAUAAGUCACCGAGAUCUUUGAUUCUUCACUUAAGUCAGAUAGAAGAAUACAUCUCACUGUGGUCCUAUCAAUACGUUAUGACGUACCAGUAUAGACAAGUAGCCAAGACAAAUUAUUUUCAUCUAUACCGCAGCCUAAACCGAUGACUCAUCCUAAAGUCAUCUCGACUGUGAUCAUAUUAUAUCUCUUAAGGUAAAUCCAAUUAUAUGGUCUUCUGUGAUCUACAACACACCAUAUAAUCUACUUAUAUAGAGAUAAAGAACAUACAUAUGCAAUCAUGAACACAAACAGAUAGGAGAUUAAAACAGUGAACAUAGGAAUCAUUGUAUACAAGCAUAAAAGGUUCUUGCUUUCAGUAUACAAAUUCAACAGGUUUUGCUACGAUUUUGGGACUAAUUUCGCUUUGAUUUUGCCUUAUGAUUUCACUAUCACUUUAAUUUUGUGAGUUCAGGGCCAUCGGGGAUGGACCAAUCACUCUAGUCUCUUAGCAUUGAUUCAACCUCUAUGGGCAGAAUUGCACGCUGAACUGCACCACUAAUGUCGAACAACAAGUGACAAAGCUGAUGUUGAAGAUAUAGAUCCGUGAAUUCCUAGUUACAAGGGAAUAAGGGAUACCAAUCUCUGAUGCGAUAGGACUUAUAGCUGGGAUGCACUUUUUCUAGCCAUUGUUGGGGUUCAUUACUCUUUAUUCUCCAGAGCUGACCAUAUGUUUAUUUUGGCCUGGAGGAUGAAGAGGGCAACGCAGGGCGGUGGUCUUUGAAGGGAAUGGGAGCAUCAAGAGGGCAGCGCAGGGACCGGUUUUCAAGGAAAAAAUUUAAAGAAUGGACUAAAUACAAGAGCUGCGCAGGGGCAUUUUCCGUGGAGGGGGUGCAACGUUUUUUAGAGAAUCUAUUGACAAUGCUGUCUUCUUUAGCACUUAUGAGUAUAUGCGUUAUUACAUGCAUAAACCACUCAAAGAUGCCUCCUCUAAUCUAAGCCAUGUGAUUGACGUGGGAGUUGGGAUUGUAAGUGGCGGCCUUGGUGGGAUAGUCUGCUGGUCUGCUGUGCUACCAUUAGAUGUUGCGAAGACCAUAAUCCAAACUUCAGCUGACAAAAACCAUUCAAGAAAUCCAGCCAAGAUUCUAGAAUCGAGCUGCGCAGGAGCUAAACAUGAGCGUCACCCGCACUGUCCAUGCUUUGGGAAUCUCUUGCAUCAAGCUCCUAAGGUUUCCUCUACAUGAAAACUCCUAAUUCAUAAAUGAGACUUUGCCGUAUUCUUGCGUGGUGCAGAGAACUCUUGCUCUUGAUACUCAUAGCUGUUUUCAGAAACUCUCGCGGACAGAAAUAAAGGAAGUUAAGAGCUUAUGUUGAAGUGGUCCGAUGGACAGAGAUGAACACCGGUCAUGACAUGGGGAAAUUAUCGAUAAAUUUGUUACAAAAAAAGGGGCCAUUGCUAUCGCCAGCCCUGCCAUUUCACCCCGGAAUCAGAUACUUCUCUCAACUGCCCUGCGCAGGACUCUUUGGCGCAAUGGGAAACUUCUAGCUCUGCUCUAUAAGAGAGUGGGUAGCGACAAGGCUGUUAGUCUUCGACAGGGAGAAGCUCGAGUAACCAUGACUGGGCCUGAUUUGAUGAAAAAGAUUUCUCUUUCUUACAAACUUUCCUAGUUUCAAUCCUUUAAUUUCUGUUCACUUUUUUACUAUAAUCUCUUAUGGUUUUGUUCAAAUUUUGAUUCAAGGGUAUAUCAAAACCAAAGCAUUGGGCAAAAUUUGGUUGGUUAGGGGAAUUGUUAGCUGAAAGGGCCAGCUAAAACUCAUAUGUUAAGAGCCAACAUCAGCUUCAUACGUUGAUCGACGAGAUUAAGCUAAAGUGUACGAGGAAUUUCAGUGCAGAGUGUGGGUAGAUUUCUGGUGUGACCAGCUUGCUUGCCUUGAUUUUUCGACUCCGCAUCGAGAACAACAGGGAAAAGUUAUUACUAGAAGAUGUGGCAACAGCUUUGUGUCGUAUCGUAAAACCCGGUAUAUCAACACCAGGUAUGGUGCAAAGCUUGGUUGAUGACAGACUCGUGUUUACUUGCAGAAUUCUUGGGCUAAAGAACACGAUAUACUUGCGCUUAUUCUGGACAACUCUGUACGUUGCGGUGCCAGGCACGAUUUGUCCAAUGGGCAUUUUAACUUGUCAAUGAUUCUUUAUGUUUGAGGUUCCGCUUGGUACCGGCAGGAGAAAUAUAGUCCACAUGAGAUGGGAUAUUAUGAUUCAAGCCAUGAGGGCUGUAUUUGGUAGUUGAGCCAUGCGACUUUUGCUUACUACUACUUCCAUGAUUAUGGGGAAAUAGAUAAAGGGAAGUACACGUAUAUACAUGUUGCAUAUCGAUUAUGUGGACGACUGUGCUGACUUGCAUAGCUUGCUCAUUCAUAUUCUAAAAUUUGCUCAUUUUCAAUUGGUUUUGUUUUGAGGGUUAAGAUCUUGAAUUUCAUGUCUAACAAAUAAUGUUGG
rnacentral:lncRNA from 1 species